rnacentral:precursor_RNA from 1 species
UUUCACCAUCAAGUUCAAUUGGGUCGGUGCUUUCUGUGUUGAAUUUGUGGAUCUUGCACUUGCCCAUUGAUGCUGAGGUUGCU